rnacentral:rRNA from 1 species
AGUGGCGAACGGGUGCGUAACACGUAGGUGACCUGCCCUGGGGAGGGGGACAACGGCUGGAAACGGCCGCUAAUACCCCAUGAGCUCAUACGAUCGAAGGGAUGAGUUAAGGCGGAAGCCGCCCUGGGAGGGGCCUGCGGCCUAUCAGGUAGUUGGUGAGGUAACGGCUCACCAAGCCGACGACGGGUAGCUGGUCUGAGAGGAUGACCAGCCACACGGGGACUGAGACACGGCCCCGACUCCUACGGGAGGCAGCAGUGAGGAAUAUUGCACAAUGGGGGAAACCCUGAUGCAGCGACGCCGCGUGGGCGAUGAAGGCCUUCGGGUCGUAAAGCCCUUUUCUCGGGGAAGAGUGAGGACGGUACCCGAGGAAUAAGUCUCGGCUAACUACGUGCAAGCAGCCGCGGUAAACGUACGAGGCAAGCGUAUCGAGUACUGGGCGUAAAGGGCGUCUAGGCGCAUCUAAGUCUUGUGUGAAAGCUCUCGGCUCAUGAGAGAGGCCGCAAGAAACUAGAAGGCUUGAGGGCAGGAGAGGCUGGUGGAAUUCCCGGUGUAGUGGUGAAAUGCGUAAAGAUCGGGAGGAACACCCGUGGCGAAAGCGGCCAGCUGGCCUGCACCUGACGCUGAAGCGCGAAAGCGUGGGGAGCGAACGGGAUUAGAUACCCCGGUAGUCCACGCCGUAAACGAUGACGACUAGGUGUGGGCGGCGUAAAACCCGUCCGUGCCGCAGCAAACGCGAUAAGUCGUCCGCCUGGGGACUACGGCCGCAAGGCUAAAACUCAAAGGAAUUGACGGGGGCCCGCACAAGCAGCGGAGCGUGUGGUUUAAUUCGAUGCGACGCGAAAAACCUUACCAGGGCUUGACAUGGUGGUGGUACUGAGCCGAAAGGCGAGGGACCCGCAAGGGAGCCAUCACAGGUGCUGCAUGGCUGUCGUCAGUUCGUGCCGUGAGGUGUUGGGUUAAGUCCCGCAACGAGCGCAACCCCCGUUGCCCGUCUUAGAUGUCUGGCGAGACUGCCCCCGCAAGGGGGAGGAAGGUGGGGAUGACGUCAAGUCAGCAUGGCCCUUAUGUCCUGGGCGACACACACGCUACAAUGGCCGGCACAAUGGGUAGCGAAGCGGCGACGCGGAGCAAAUCCUUGUAAUGCCGGUCUCAGUUCGGAUUGGAGUCUGCAACCCGACUCCAUGAAGGCGGAGUUGCUAGUAACCGCCGGUCAGCCAUACGGCGGUGAAUACGUUCCCGGGCCUUGUACACACCGCCCGUCACGUCAUGGGAGUGGGCAACACCUGAAGUCGGUGGGGUAACCGCAAGGAGCCAGCCG